rnacentral:rRNA from 1 species
AUGAACGCUGGCGGCGUGCCUCAUACAUGCCAGUCGAGCGAACAGAUGAGGAGCUUGCUCCUCUGACGUUAGCGGCGGACGGGAGAGUAACACGUGGAUAGCCUACCUAUAAGACUGGGAUAACUUCGGGAAACCGGAGCUAAUACCGGAUAAUAUAUUGAACCGCAUGGUUCAAUAGUGAAAGACGGUUUUGCUGUCACUUAUAGAUGGAUCCGCGCCGCAUUAGCUAGUUGGUAAGGUAACGGCUUACCAAGGCAACGAUGCGUAGCCGACCUGAGAGGGUGAUCGGCCACACUGGAACUGAGACACGGUCCAGACUCCUACGGGAGGCAGCAGUAGGGAAUCUUCCGCAAUGGGCGAAAGCCUGACGGAGCAACGCCGCGUGAGUGAUGAAGGUCUUCGGAUCGUAAAACUCUGUUAUUAGGGAAGAACAAAUGUGUAAGUAACUAUGCACGUCUUGACGGUACCUAAUCAGAAAGCCACGGCUAACUACGUG